GGAUCUUUGUCCCCUACUCUAAAGGGAUCCUGAUAAUGGCAUUGGGAAAGGCCCGCUUGGCACUGGUAACUAAAAGUCCCAAUUGUUUGUCAGUGGUGUUCGGAAGUAGAAGGCCAAGGCAGUUGUUGAGGCCCACCGAAAGAAUGACCUCCUUAACUAGUUUAUGUGGUUUAAGCCCUUUCAAAAUGGACUGCAUAUGAUGAAUCCCUGCACCAGGGAAGCUGUCAAUUUGGAUUUUGGGAUCCUCAAAAUGAGGAAUUCUAGAUAAAUUGGAAUCUCCCAGAAUAACAAUGGGUUUAAUGAUUUUAACUGACCAAUCUUUCAAUUUUCUGUUUGUAUUGAUAUGUCUAUGGGGUUCACGUCGUGCUGCAAAGUUCAGAGAGGAGCCACUCGGCAAGGCAAAGACAUCCUCAGAUCGAGCAGGUGAGUCAACUUUAUUUAUGCCAUUAUCGGCUAUGUUGCCUGCACUCGUCAUGGGGUUUGCACUUGUGGAUGUGGUCUCUGUCGAAAUCUGUUGCAGUAGAGGACGAGAAGUAGAGAAGUCAGGAAGAGGAGAUACAGUGUGGAGUGGCGGGUCAAUGAGACCAGAUGUAAGGUCUUUGUUCUCAAGGUGGAAGUCUAGCUUCUCCUUGUCCUGUCUAACACCGCUCUCCUUCCUCUGAGGGGUGAUGGUGCUAGCACUGGCUAUCUGCUGGGGAGGCUUGGUUUCAUCCCUGAAGUCUGACUGGCUGUUCUGCACCUCAUCAGCUGUAGGUGCACAAGAGGGAGUUAACGAAUGUACAGUAUCAUGGCUGGGGUUUACAGGAACGACGGCAGAGUCGUUCAAGCACGGAGGGAGAGGAGAGUUUCUGAAUGUAGAAUUCUCCACAUCCCCCACCAAAGGUUCAGGGCUCCUGGAUAAGCUCAACUGGGCCGGGUUAUCCUUUGGAGAGGUCAAAGCUCUGACGCCGGGCCCUUCCCCCUCCUCUCCUCCCGCUGCUUCCUCUGCUUCCUGGUGAACGGAUUUCAACAUCGAAUUUUAGUUCUUUAGGUAAAUGC
ensembl:lncRNA